UCUCUUCGUAUAGUAAAAUAUUAAAAUGAAGAGUCGGGCCUGCCCUAUGAUAAGUAUUAUUAAAUGGCCGCGGUACUCUGACCGUGCAAAGGUAGCAUAAUAAUUUGUCUGUUAAUUGCUGACUAGUAUGAAUGGUUUGACGAAGGAAAGUAACUGUCUCUUAUUAUUUUUAUAUAAAUUGACUUUCAGGUUAAAAGGCCUGAAUUUAAUGCUAAGACGAGAAGACCCUAUUGAGCUUUACUAUAAACUUAGGUAUUCUAAGUCAGAUAGGUUGGUUGGGGCAACAGAAGAACAGAAAAAGCUUCUUUUAUAAAACAAAAGUUACAUUUGAUCCAACAAAUGUUGAUAAAGGAAAUAGUUACCAUAGGGAUAACAGCAUAAUUUUUUUUUAGAGUUCAUAUUGAAAAAAAAGUUUGUGACCUCGAUGUUGGACUAGAAUAUCCUGAAGGUGCAGCAGCUAUCAAGGGUUGGCCUGUUCGGCCAUAAAAAUUCUA
rnacentral:rRNA from 1 species